UACGUAGGUGGCAAGCGUUAUCCGGAUUUACUGGGCGUAAAGGGUGUGCAGGCGGGCGGUCAAGUGGUGUAUGAAAUAUCCUGGCUCAACCAGGAGAGGUUAUGCCAGACUGACCGUCUUGAGUGCGAGAGAGGGGCGUGGAAUUCCGGGUGUAGUGGUGAAAUGCGUAGAGAUCCGGAGGAACCCCAGAGGCGAAGGCGGCGCCCUGGCUCGCAACUGACGCUCAUACACGACAGCAUGGGGAGCGAACGGG
rnacentral:rRNA from 1 species